rnacentral:rRNA from 1 species
GAUGAACGCUGGCGGCGUGCCUAAUACAUGCAAGUCGAGCGAUGAAGCUUGGAGCUUGCACCAAUUUGGAGAGCAGCGGACGGGUGAGUAACGCGUGGGUAAUCUGCCUUUGAGCGGGGGACAACAUCGGGAAACGAAUGCUAAUACCGCAUAAUAACUUGAAACAUAAGGUUCAAGAUUGAAAGAUGCAAUUGCAUCAUUCAAUAAUGAGUUCCGGUUUUAUUAGCUGGUUGGGAAGGUAAAGGCCAACCAAGGGAAGGAUCCAUAGCCGCCCUGAGUGGUGGUCCGCCACAUUGGGACUGGGACAACGGUCCAGACUCCUCCGGGAGGAACAAUAGGGGAACUUCGGCCAUGGGGGGAAAGCUGGACGAAGAAAGCCGCGGGGGGGGAUGAAGGUUUCGGGUUGGUAAAAUCCGUUUGUUGGGAAGAAAGAUAGGGAGAGUGAAAAGCUCAUAAAGUGACGGUAACUAACCAGAAAGCAACGGCUAACUACGUG